rnacentral:rRNA from 1 species
GAUGAACGCUGGCGGCGUGCCUAAUACAUGCAAGUCGAGCGAACAGACGAGGAGCUUGCUCCUCUGACGUUAGCGGCGGACGGGUGAGUAACACGUGGAUAACCUACCUAUAAGACUGGGAUAACUUCGGGAAACCGGAGCUAAUACCGGAUAAUAUAUUGAACCGCAUGGUUCAAUAGUGGAAGACGGUUUUGCUGUCACUUAUAGAUGGAUCCGCGCCGCAUUAGCUAGUUGGUAAGGUAACGGCUUACCAAGGCGACGAUGCGUAGCCGACCUGAGAGGGUGAUCGGCCACACGGGAACUGAGACACGGUCCAGACUCCUACGGGAGGCAGCAGUAGGGAAUCUUCCGCAAUGGGCGAAAGCCUGACGGAGCAACGCCGCGUGAGUGAUGAAGGUCUUCGGAUCGUAAAACUCUGUCAUUAGGGAAGAACAAAUGUGUAAGUAACUAUGCACGUCUUGACGGUACCUAAUCAGAAAGCCACGGCUAACUACGUG